rnacentral:rRNA from 1 species
GACGGAAGGUGCAAGCGUUGCUCGGAAUCACUGGGCGUAAAGGGUGCGUAGGCGGCUUGGUAAGUUGGGUGUGAAAGCCCCGGGCUCAGCCCGGGAAGGGCACUCGAAACUGCCGAGCUGGAGUGCCGGAGGGGAGAGUGGAAUUCCUGGUGUAGCGGUGAAAUGCGCAGAUAUCAGGAGGAACACCGGUGGCGAAGGCGGGUCUCUGGGCAACAACUGACGCUGAGGAGCGAAAGCGUGGGGAGCGAACAGG